CUCAUUAAAUCAGUUAUAGUUUAUUUGAUGGUCUCUUUGUUCUUCUUUUUACCUACUUGGAUAACCGUGGUAAUUCUAGAGCUAAUACAUGCGCAAGGUCCCGAGCGCGGAGGGUAAGGCUUCACGGCUCUAUCCUUGCAUGCGUAGAGGGAUGUAUUUAUUAGGUUAAACAACCAGCAGCCAGCAAUGGCUACAUCUUCUGGUGAUUCAUAGUAACUCUUUCGGAUCGCAUUCAUG
rnacentral:rRNA from 1 species